GGCGUAAAGCGCAUGCAGGUGGUUAGAUAAGUCAGAUGUGAAAGCCCCGAGCUCAACUUGGGAAUUGCAUUUGAAACUGUCUGGCUAGAGCCCUGUAGAGGGGGGUAGAAUUUC
rnacentral:rRNA from 1 species